AUUGAACGCUGGCGGCAUGCCUUACACAUGCAAGUCGAACGGUAACGGGCCUUCGGGUGCCGACGAGUGGCGAACGGGUGAGUAAUGUAUCGGAACGUACCUUUCAGUGGGGGAUAACGUAGCGAAAGUUACGCUAAUACCGCAUAUUCUGUGAGCAGGAAAGCAGGGGAUCGCAAGACCUUGCUCUGAUUGAGGGGCCGAUAUCAGAUUAGCUAGUUGGUGAGGUAAAGGCUCACCAAGGCGACGAUCUGUAGCGGGUCUGAGAGGAUGAUCCGCCACACUGGAACUGAGACACGGUCCAGACUCCUACGGGAGGCAGCAGUGGGGAAUUUUGGACAAUGGGGGCAACCCUGAUCCAGCCAUGCCGCGUGAGUGAAGAAGGCCUUCGGGUUGUAAAGCUCUUUCGGCCGGGAAGAAAUCGUAUCAGCUAAUACCUGGUGCGGAUGACGGUACCGGCAUAAGAAGCACCGGCUAACUACGUGCCAGCCGCCGCGGUAAGAC
rnacentral:rRNA from 1 species